UCAGGUCAUGAAGCUCCAAUUUUCUCCCUACAGCCUGCUAAAUCUCAAAGCAGAGACGAGUUUUUGCAUUUCAAAAAUUGGGAGGAAGAUCCGCAACAAGUUGAGGGAUUACCUGCAAAAUUAACAUAAAUUGCUCUGUCGCUGUUUUUCUGUGUGAAUAUUAUGUGGUUGCCCUGCAUUACUGUCUGGAUUGGAUACAACUUUUGUCUCAUGCCUGUCUGCAUUGUCCUAAUCGGAGGGAGCGCCCCCAUGCAUCUCAGCCUGAAACACUU